AUAGUAUUUUAUUAUUAUUAUUAUUUUUGGCUGCAUGGCAUGGCAUACAUGAUCUUUUCUCCCUGACCAGGGAUUGAACCUGUGCUCCCUGAAGUAGAAGCAUGGAGUCUUCACCACUGGACCCCCAAACUUGCAGGAGAUAAAGUGGAGUGCGAGAAGAUGGUCACGUCCCAGGUCUCAGGCGAGUCCCUGGGACGGCUGCCAAGUGUGGAUUCUUGGCUUCGCACAGGAAAGAGUUCAAGAGAGAGCUAUAGUAAAGUGAAAGAAGGUUUAUUCAGGGAGAUACAUACUCCACAGACAGAGUGUGGGCCAUCUCUGAAGUUCUAGGUACAUAACGAUGAACUAUUCAACACCAAAAUCUUUGCAGCAUAGACAUUCUGAUUCCUGCUUCAGCUCUGCUCUGCAGUGGAGUUACCAUUACUAUUUUAUCUCUGGAGAUUAAGUGCCUCUAUUUGCCAUCUGCCACCCUGGAAUUCCAUUAUCCCCAUUGAUUUCUGGGACCCCAGAUCCAUGACAGUAGUUUCUGCUUAUAUUUCUGAACAAUAGAAAGUAGUCACAGGGACUUCCCUGGUGGUCCAGUGGUUAAGAAUGCAGGGGACGCGAGUUCCAUCCCUGGUUGGAGAACUAAGAUCCCACAUGCCACAGGGCAACUGAGCCGGUGUGUCGCGACUACUGAGCACCACAACUAUAUAGCCCACGUGCUGCAAACUACAGAGCCUGUGCACUGUGGAGCCCAUGAGCCACAACUAGAGAGAAGCCUGCACAUCGCAUCUACUGAGCCUGUGUGCUCUGGAGCCUGUGCACCACAACUAGAGAGAAGCCUGCUCGUCGUAAUGAAGAGCCCAUGCACCACAAUGAAAGAUCCCUCAGGGCGCAGCGAAGGUCCCACCUGCCCCAACCCGAUGUAGCUAAAUAAAUAAAUAAAUAUUUAAAAAGAAAAACAUAUGUAAUCACAAAGGAGCUCAUUAAGGACACUGUGGACUCCCCAUGAAUAUAUUUCUUCCAGACUUAAUGAAGGGAGUGUAUUCUGAUCCACCUGAGGGGUGUAUUAGGAGAUAAAUAAACAAAUAGGACAUCAUAAAUACAUUCUACCGUUCCGAUCUCACUAAGACUUUGGUUGUAUCCCUCAGUAAUAUGACAGGGAAUUUCUAGCAUUUAAUUUAAUUAAAUGUAAGCACUUUUUGGUCCCAGAUUUUAGUCAUUUGCAAAGGAAAAUGUUAAAGCUACUCCUAGCUUCUUGAUUUAACAUAUUGAAUCCAGAACCUUGGCUAAGUGAGACCUUAUUGCUCUCCUCAGCCUGAGCCAAAUUUGUAUUUCUUCUACCUUAAUCUAAAAACCUUAGGAUUAAU